rnacentral:rRNA from 1 species
UACAGAGGGGCAAGCGUUGUUCGGAAUUACUGGGCGUAAAGCGCACGUAGGCGGAUUGUUAAGUCGGGGUGAAAUCCUGGAGCUCAACUCCAGAACUGCCUUCGAUACUGGCGAUCUCGAGUUCGGGAGAGGUGAGUGGAACUGGCGAGUCGUAGAGGUGAAAUUCGUAGAUAUUCGCAAGAACACCAGUGGCGAAGGCGGCUCACUGGCCCGAUACUGACGCUGAGUGCGAAGCGAUGGGAGCA